UACGGAGGGAGCUAGCGUUGUUCGGAAUUACUGGGCGUAAAGCGCACGUAGGCGGCUCUUUAAGUCAGGGGUGAAAUCCCGGGGCUCAACCCCGGAACUGCCCUUGAAACUGGAAAGCUAGAAUCUUGGAGAGGCGAGUGGAAUUCCGAGUGUAGAGGUGAAAUUCGUAGAUAUUCGGAAGAACACCAGUGGCGAAGGCGACUCGCUGGACAAGUAUUGACGCUGAGGUGCGAAAGCGUGGGGAGCAAACAGG
rnacentral:rRNA from 1 species